GGCUCAGAACGAACGCUGGCGGCAUGCCUAACACAUGCAAGUCGAACGUGAUCCGGGGCUUGCUCCGGUGAAAGUGGCGGACGGGUGAGUAACGCGUGGGAACCUGCCCUUUGGUCGGGAAUAACUGCGGGAAACUGCGGCUAAUACCCGAUGCACCCGAGAGGGGAAAGAUUUAUCGCCGAAGGAUGGGCCCGCGUCGGAUUAGGUAGUUGGUGGGGUAACGGCCUACCAAGCCUACGAUCCGUAGCUGGUCUGAGAGGAUGAUCAGCCACACUGGGACUGAGAUACGGCCCAGACUCCUACGGGAGGCAGCAGUGGGGAAUAUUGGACAAUGGGCGCAAGCCUGAUCCAGCAAUGCCGCGUGAGUGAAGAAGGCCUUAGGGUUGUAAAGCUCUUUCGGCGGGGACGAUGAUGACGGUACCCGCAGAAGAAGCCCCGGCUAACUCCGUGCCAGCAGCCGCGGUAAUACGGAGGGGGCUAGCGUUGUUCGGAAUUACUGGGCGUAAAGGGCGCGUAGGCGGUGCGAUCAGUCAGGCGUGAAAGGCCCGGGCUCAACCCGGGGACUGCGCUUGAUACUGUUGCGCUGUGAGUCCGGGAGAGGAUGGCGGAAUUCCCAGUGUAGAGGUGAAAUUCGUAGAUAUUGGGAAGAACACCGGUGGCGAAGGCGGCCAUCUGGACCGGCACUGACGCUGAGGCGCGAAAGCGUGGGGAGCAAACAGGAUUAGAUACCCUGGUAGUCCACGCCGUAAACGAUGCGUGCUAGACGUUGGGGGGCUUGCCCUUCGGUGUCGCCGCUAACGCAUGAAGCACGCCGCCUGGGGAGUACGGUCGCAAGAUUAAAACUCAAAU
rnacentral:rRNA from 1 species